rnacentral:rRNA from 1 species
CCAAUAGCGUAUAUUAAAGUUGUUGCAGUUAAAAAGCUCGUAGUUGAAUUUCGGGAUCAAGGGAUUGGUCAUGCCUCGGUAUGUACUGGUCUUAUUGGUUCUCACCUUCUAAGGAACCAUGAUGUCAUUUAUUUGAUGUUGUGGGGAAUUAGGACUGUUACCUUGAAAAAAUUAGAGUGUUUAAAGCAGGCUUACGCUUGAGUACAUUAGCAUGGAAUAAUGAAAUAGGACGUCAGAUUCUAUUUUGUUGGUUUCUAGGAUCGAUGUAAUGAUUAAUAGGGAUAGUUGGGGGCAUUAGUAUUCAAUUGUCAGAGGUGAAAUUAUUGGAUUUAUUGAAGACUAACUACUGCGAAAGCAUUUGCCAAGGAUGUUUUCAUUAAUCAAGAACGAAAGUUAGGGGAUCGAAGACGAUCAGAUACCGUCGUAGUCUUAACCAUAAACUAUGCCGACUAGGGAUCGGAUGAUGUUUAUUUUUUAGUGACUCAUUCGGCACCUUACG